rnacentral:rRNA from 1 species
UACGGAGGGUGCGAGCGUUGUCCGGAAUCACUGGGCGUAAAGGGCGCGUAGGUGGCGCAGGAAGUCAACGGUGAAAGUUCGGGGCUCAACCCUGAAUCGGCCGUCGAUACUCCUGGGCUCGAGCACUGUAGAGGCAGAUGGAAUUCCGGGUGUAGCGGUGGAAUGCGUAGAGAUCCCGGAAGAACACCGGUGGCGAAGGCGGUCUGCUGG